UUUAUUUUUAUUAAGUUCUUUGCAAUUAGUACACCUUUGUAACUUUCUGAUAUACGUUCAUCGUACAUGAUACAUGUGUACAUAAAUUUUAUGAGCCUCUGUGCAUAUGGUGAAAUAUAUACUUUUAAUGUACACAUGGACACAGAACUCUACCUUAAAAACAUGCACGAACAGACGUUAUCAGUAUAUAUCUCUACAUUCAUGGCCAUUAUUAGUAUCUAUCUAUGUGUACACCAUCAAUCUUUCGUUGUGUACCCAUAAUUUAUCAAACACUUAACAAUUGUGUACACCGUCUAGUGGCGUCCACGAGUACACUGUCUAGUUGUGUCCACGUCUAGUGGCGUCCACGAGUACACCGUCUAGUUGUGUCCACGUGUACACCGUCUAGUUGUGUCCACGAGUCAGUGUACACGUCGAAUCAUGUCAACAGUCAUAUGUCAAAAUAAGCAAAAACCUUUAGCUUAAACCUGAUCAACAUUUUCAAUCCUCGACUUCCUAUAUCGUGAUUGUUCACUAUAUGUAUACCAUGUGAGGAAAACCCAGCUUCCUUCAAAAGGUUUACUAGAUCCAUUCUAACGAGUUGGUGAACGCAUUGUGAUUAGGCUGCGGUUGCUGAGUUUGGAGUCGGGGACGAGCUCAAUCGACACCGAAGAGAACGGAGCUGGGGUGAGGUGGAGGAUGAAGGCAGUGUAUCCAGGACGGGUGUAGUGAUUGAUGGCCCAGCGAACAGCCAAGGUGUUCUCUUCCGUGAGGUCAAUAGCAGCUCAGAUUUUGCAGCAACCACCGGCAGUUGGGGGGACGAGAGGUCGAUGGAAGUGAUGGAGAAACCUCCACGCCGUCGAAGAAGAUAACGAGAAGAUAAGAUAGAAAAACUGAGAGAAAUAUUCAAUACAGUUUAUUGUUUUUUCGGUUC